CCUACGGGAGGCAGCAGUCGAGAAUCAUUCACAAUGGGGGAAACCCUGAUGGUGCGACGCCGCGUGGGGGAAUGAAGGUCUUCGGAUUGUAAACCCCUGUCAUGUGGGAGCAAAUUCAAAAGAUAGUACCACAAGAGGAAGAGACGGCUAACUCUGUGCCAGCAGCCGCGGUACUACAGAGGUCUCAAGCGUUGUUCGGAAUCACUGGGCGUAAAGCGUGCGUAGGCUGUGUCGUAAGUCGUGUGUGAAAGGCGCGGGCUCAACCCGCGGACGGCACCUGAUACUGCGAGACUAGAGUAAUGGAGGGGGAACCGGAAUUCUCGGUGUAGCAGUGAAAUGCGUAGAUAUCGAGAGGAACACUCGUGGCGAAGGCGGGUUCCUGGACAUUAACUGACGCUGAGGCACGAAGGCCAGGGGAGCGAAAGGGAUUAGAUACCCCAGUAGUC
rnacentral:rRNA from 1 species